CCAAAGGCUCUUUUAAGAGCCACCACACACUCUACUCCAGAGCUAUU
rfam:Oryzias latipes DNA, chromosome14, strain: Hd-rR.